GGAGGUCACUGCUAUUGGGAUUCGAUUAAGCCAUGCGAGUCGAGAGGGUUCGGCCCUCGGCAGACUGCUCAGUAACACGUGGAUAAUCUGUCCUUAGGUGGAGCAUAAUCUCGGGAAACUGAGAAUAAUACUCCAUAGAUCUAGGAUGCUGGAACGCACCUAGGUUGAAAGCUCCGGCGCCUAAGGGUGAGUCUGCGGACUAUCAGGCUGUAGUCAGGGUAAAGACCUGACUAACCUACGACGGAUACGGGUUGUGAGAGCAAUAACCCGGAGACGAUAUCUGAGACACGAUAUCGGGCCCUACGGGGCGCAGCAGGCGCGAAACCUUCACACUGUGCGAAAGCGCGAUGAGGGAAUCCCAAGUGUAUGCACGUAAGUGUAUACUGUUUCUAUGUCUAAAAAGCAUGGAGAGUAAGAGCUGGGUAAGACGGGUGCCAGCCGCCGCGGUAAUACCUGCAGCUCAAGUGGUGACCACUAUUAUUGGGCCUAAAACGUCCGUAGCCGGUUUAGUAAAUGCCUGGGAAAAUCGAGCCGCUUAACGGUUCGAAUUCCGGGUAGACUGCUAAACUUGGGACCGGGAGAGGCUAGAGGUACUCCUGGGGUAGAGGUGAAAUUCUGUAAUCCUGGGGGGACCACCAGUGGCGAAGGCGUCUAGCUAGAACGGGUCUGACGGUGAGGGACGAAGCCCUGGGGCGCAAACCGGAUUAGAUACCCGGGUAGUCCAGGGUGUAAACGCUGCUUGCUUGAUGUUAGUUGGGCUCUGAGCCCGAUUAGUGUCNGAGAGAAUUGUNAGCAGC
rnacentral:rRNA from 1 species